rnacentral:rRNA from 1 species
AUUGAACGCUGGCGGCAUGCCUUACACAUGCAAGUCGAACGGCAGCGGACCUUCGGGUGCCGGCGAGUGGCGAACGGGUGAGUAAUAUAUCGGAACGUACCUUUCAGUGGGGGAUAACGUAGCGAAAGUUACGCUAAUACCGCAUAUUCUGUGAGCAGGAAAGCAGGGGAUCGCAAGACCUUGCGCUGAUUGAGCGGCCGAUAUCAGAUUAGCUAGUUGGUGAGGUAAAGGCUCACCAAGGCGACGAUCUGUAGCGGGUCUGAGAGGAUGAUCCGCCACACUGGAACUGAGACACGGUCCAGACUCCUACGGGAGGCAGCAGUGGGGAAUUUUGGACAAUGGGCGCAAGCCUGAUCCAGCCAUGCCGCGUGUGUGAAGAAGGCC